UGGCGGACGGGUGAGUAAUGUCUGGGAAACUGCCUGAUGGAGGGGGAUAACUACUGGAAACGGUAGCUAAUACCGCAUAACGUCGCAAGACCAAAGAGGGGGACCUUCGGGCCUCUUGCCAUCGGAUGUGCCCAGAUGGGAUUAGCUAGUAGGUGGGGUAACGACUCACCUAGGCGACGAUCCCUAGCUGGUCUGAGAGGAUGACCAGCCACACUGGAACUGAGACGCGGUCCAG
rnacentral:rRNA from 1 species